CCUACGGGAGGCUGCAGUGAGGAAUAUUGGUCAAUGGACGAGAGUCUGAACCAGCCAAGUAGCGUGAAGGAUGACUGCCCUAUGGGUUGUAAACUUCUUUUAUAUGGGAAUAAAACGUUCCACGUGUGGGAUUUUGUAUGUACCAUAUGAAUAAGGAUUGGCUAACUCCGUGCCAGCAGCCGCGGUAAUACGGAGGAUCCGAGCGUUAUCCGGAUUUAUUGGGUUUAAAGGGAGAGUAGGUGGAUUGUUAAGUCAGUUGUGAAAGUUUGCGGCUCAACCGUAAAAUUGCAGUUGAAACUGGCAGUCUUGAGUACAGUAGAGGUGGGCGGAAUUCGUGGUGUAGCGGUGAAAUGCUUAGAUAUCACGAAGAACUCCGAUUGCGAAGGCAGUUCACUGGACUGAAACUGACACUGAGGCUCGAAAGUGUGGGUAUCAAACAGGAUUAGAUACCCGGGUAGUC
rnacentral:rRNA from 1 species